GGCCUCCCAAUUCUUACCACAGGCUGUGUUCUUUACACUGACUUUAUAGAAAAGAAGAGGUAUGGUAAAUGCACCCCCAAUAAACACUUCAACACAGGUCCUUUGGCCUGGCCUGUAUUGUGAAUUGGGGGACAAAA